GCCUCUCACUUGGGCAGGGCCCCGCCUGCCCCUGGCCACGGGCGGCUCGUCUGGCGGCUGCGGGCUCCGGCAGCGUCUGCUCCGUGCGGGCCCGGGGCCCUCAGGAUGCCCUGCGGACGCCCGCUCGCGGCGCGGCCCAAGGGAGCUGCGGCUGUCCGCUACCGUCUGAAUGGCUGUGCUCCCAGCGACCUUUGGAGGACAGGCCUCUGGCCUUCCCUUGCUGCCGGCUGCUGCUACGGUUUCUUUAAUAGGGAAUGAGUUGCUUUGCCUGUACGCCUCAGACGUAGAAAUAAAGGGAAGAAAAUCAGCUACGGCAAUUUUAAAGAACCUAGCUCCCUCUUGUGGUAUGCUGUGUGCCCUGUGGUGUCCUGGGAAUGUUAGAGAAUCCCUGUUGGUGAAAUACAACUGUUAAAGCUGUUUCUGUUGCAGCUGUGAGUUGCUCUUAGCUAUGGGCCUUGGCUGACAGAAGAGAUGAGUGAGACUUAGCAGGAAGAAUAGAGAGCUACAAAUAGAGAUUUUGGAGUGAAGAGCUAUGUGAUCAUGGGCCAUUCUUUCAGCAGCUUUCACUGGUCAAUGUCUGGACCACUGAGGAUCUGAGAAAGAUCUUAAGUAACGCCCAAGAAAAAUAACUUCUUAGACCCUAACCUGACAUCCAUGGACUGAAGUGAUCUAAGCUGCAGAAGGCACCCUUAGGAGAGCUGCCCACAAGCACACCUUCACCAUUGUUGAGUUUGACUAAAGACAGGUGAAGUAGUUGAAGGUUGGCUCAUGAAGAACUGUAAUGGAGGGCUGUGAGGCUAUAUUUGUUGACUUUUGGUAUAAGUAUCUGUUUAUUUCAAAAGUUUUCUAUUUGUGGCCUAGUAGGCUAGAAUUCUAAAGAAUUACAUGUGGAGGUAAAAAAUACUUAGGAAGAGGGUUUAGAUAUGUGAUUCUUGAGCUGUACUUUGCAUGUUUUUACAUGUGUACGUUAUCUGCGUGUAGCCGUAGUGCUGGUUACACCUAGAGGGAAGGCUGCAUGUUUUAAAGUACUCUGAGGCUCUAGGAUGAUAUACGAGCUGUAGCUAAUGACCAAUAACUUCUUCAAUAGUUAAGUUGUUCUUCUGUAAUCAAGAAGUCUUUGUUUUUAAAAACCCAGGCUUGACUUACAGGCUAAUGAUUUAAGAUCUUGACUUCUAGAACAGAAGACAACGUAUAUGCAUAGUAUCUAGUGUUCUUUGGGCUUUGAUUUCUGAUUGUUCUUUGACACUGCCAUAAUGAAAAUGACAGAUGGUUAGGCGCUGUUAUUCUCAACAUUGACAUUUCACUUCCUUAUCUACAAAAAGUAUUAAUAAAGCAUGCUUCUGGAACUUUUUUUUUUAAUUAAUAUAUAGGCUUAACUUUGUGUUUUGUUUCGUUUUUGUAAUCUUUUCAUACUACUUUUUGUCUCUCUGAACACAAAUGAUGAUACACAGUGACACUACAAGUAAAAAUGCCAGUGACUAAAAGUUCUGCUAUCCAGUGUCCUCAGUAAGUUUGACCUGAGUACUAUGACCUGAUUUAGCCAUUUAGCCUGGCUACUGUGAUAGUGGGAUUCCUCUGUAACAAGAAAACUACUCGUCACAAAUAGGCUUUAAAACAUCAGAGUCAGGGCAGGGAGACAAAAGUCUAAUUUGAUCUUGAAAAGGUUGAAAGCCUUUAGACUCUUGUAAAGAUGCGAUUACAACUCUUAAGCAGGCUCAGUUACAACUCUUAAGCAGAUUGAGCAUUACUUGUUAUCUGACAAGGGCAAUUCUUCAAUCUGACAAAUUCAGUUAGGGAUGGUUAUAGAGAUUCUUGAAAACAUAUUACGUAAUUAAUGUCAAAAAUGUGUCUAUCCCAAUUGCUGUACUCCUUUGACAAAACAGAUAUUGGUAGCUCUCAGGUAGGUUAUGUGCCCAGCUGUGUACUAAGUCACUGAGCUGCCUGGUGUGUUCAAAUGUGUGGCAUUCUAUGAGCUGAGUGUAUGAAGUUUAUGUAACGAUGCUUCCAGGUUUGGUGCCUGUAUAUGUAUAUAGGCACUUUGGUGUAUGUAGUAAUUGCAGUUAUAGCAGCCUCAGGGAACCCUCAAAAUACUGUUAAUGUGCCUUACUAAAACCUAUGUACCAGUGAAAGAAAUGUGAGUAAAUUUUGGAAAACAAAUGCUCGGCAGUGAAUGAGUUUAAUUCUAGCACUUCUAACAGUUUUGAUUACAUUUGUCCUUGGAAUACCUGGAAGAACGUUGGAGCAUAAGGAAAUAAAGGGACAGGCUCAACGAGUAAAUUUUGCUAAAAAUUUCCCAGAAUAAAAUGUCAGCAGUAGUUCUUAGAAUAGAUUCUGAGAGUUUUCUUACUUAAUUAGCUGGAGAACUGGACAUGGAAGUAUAUUUAUAUAUAUGGAAAUCUGACAAAUCUUAAGAAAAUGCACAGUGGCAGCAUUUUGAUCUGAAGGUUCUAGUGAUUAAAAGUCGUUGCCAUGAUUCUUAAGUUCUUUUUGUGUAACCAAGCUUGAGGAUUAUAAGAAACUACAUGUGUAUUCAAAAGGCUAGAAAGCAACAAUGAGGUAUUGAAUUUAAAGGCAAAAGCUGUCUGCACAACUGGCAUUUUGCCCUUAGGAGAAGGGCAUUUUGUGGACAAAAUCAGGCCACCUGAGAAGUUGCAACUGUAGUUUUAACAUGCCAGAGAUCAUGACAUAAAAUGAACACAUGCUGAUUUUUUUUAUUAUUUAUUUAUUAUGUUAAAAAAUGCAUCUGAAUUAAAAUACAGUAGUUAAGAAGUAAGCAAAUGUUGGUGACAUUUAUUAAGAAGACUGUUGUACUUGAUCAAAAGAAAUUUAGUCUCUGGUCCAUUUUAAGACGUAGUCUCGGAGUACUCUUCCAGCAGCUGUGACCUGUGGGUAACACGUUUCAUGAGCCCAUGUCUUUGAACAUCUACCUCUGUCCAUGUGAUUUGAGAAGCUAGACAAAAUUUUAAGAUUCACAAUAUUUGGUGGGAAAGUGAAUUUUAGUGUAUCCAUGUGCUGCCUGAAGAGAGAUUUGUGAGUGUGUGUGUGUGUGUGUGUUGUGUGUUUAAACUUGCUAUUUUGUAACUCAAUUUGAUGGCUAUUAAGACUUUUAUUGUAGAAGAUGGUGAAUAGUACCAUUUCCACGAUAGCUACAGAGCUGUCUCUCCUUCCCUUCUUUGCACUCUUUGUGGUUGAAGAAACAGAAUCUGUUUCGUACAGCAGGUGGUUUGUACCUUUAUUGUUUCUGAGGAGUAGAGGCCUGCACUAUCCAUCGUAUUCAAAAUGUCCCCUGCCUGAGCAGGGGUUUGUACCAGAUGACCUCCAGAGGUGCCUUCUAACCUCAGCCACUCUGAUUAUGUGAUUCUGUGAUGCAGGAUGCAUGUAAAUUAAUUGUGGUAUAUAUUUUUUUUCUCCUAUCGUUCUUCAUUAUUUGCCAAAUAUUUCCAAACAUUGUGUCUGGCUUUUGAGCAGUGAGCUGACCUUUUAGUUUUACUUAUUGUUAAGAUCUUUUUUGGGUGAUAACAGUUCUGUUGGAGACCAUCCUAUGAUGUAUAAUAUUAAAAAUUUGCAUUCCCAACCCCUGACUUGUUUGUUUGUUGUAUUACAUACACUGAAAAUCAUCUGCAGCUUUAUUGUCUGUUCCCAAAACAUUGUUAUCUCUUGUGGGUACUCUAUGGGGGCAUUAUUAUUUUUUAACUACCCAGAACAAAGGCAUUGUCAGAAAUCUGCCAUCUCAGUAUUCAUCUGGCUUUUUCAAAUACUCUGUAAGUAUUGUUUCUCAGGGCUGGACAGAGAUCUGUUGGUGAUUUUUGCCUAACUGAAACUGAACAUUUAUUACUGUUCUUUCAGCCUUUUAGUAAGUUGCUUCUCUGGAGGAGAGCUGUUCCUGUCAUCUCAUGCAACAUAUAUUAAGGGCCUUUGGCAAGGUCUGUACAGAACAGUUUUUGGAAAUCCAAAUAGAGUAUAUCAGGUGAAUUUCACAUGUCCACAUGCCCACUGAUUCUUCCAAAUAAUUCUAAAGCAUUUGUCAGACAUAAAUUUGUCACACAUAUACACACUAAUUUUGACCUUCAGAAUUGUUUCUACUAGCAUACCUGGAACAGAAGUAGAGUUGAUGCUUUCUGAAACAUGUAUAAAAAAUUGUGUUUUGUAUGUUAACUUGCAGUCCCCUAGUACUGAGGUAAAACAUCACAGCUAUUAUGCUUUUUCAUUUGCACAUUUGAGGGGUUAUCAUAUGGUCUAGUGAUUUAUUGUUAUUCAUUUUGUUUACUUAAUCCCUUCUGUAAUUAUCCUACAGAAACUUUGGUUUCUGGGAGUUGUAUUACAGAAUAUUUUAAAGGUAAUUUUUUUGCACAGGAACUUUUCCAAGUUUGUCUGAAAUAAAAUGAGUACAAAAAUAA